UUUAAAAUUAUACCUGACAAUCGAUUGUCAGACUUUGACAAUCGAUUGUCUGGUCCAGUAACUUAGAAAAAUUUUUCCUUGUCUCUUCCAGUGACUUAAAAUUUCAGAAAAAAACCAAACAAUCGAUUGUCUGUUUUGACAACCGAUUGUCUGGUCCAAUGACUUAGAAAUUUUUUUUCAUGUUACUUCCAGUGACUUAAAAAUUUCACAGAAAAUGCCAAACCAUCGAUUGUCUGUUUUGACAAUCGAUUGUCUGGUCCAGUAAAGUUUAAGAAAAAAAUGUUUCA
rnacentral:lncRNA from 1 species